AAAAAGGCAAGCUCUGGCUUUCCGUGUCCAACUUUGACUGUUCGUCUUAUAUAAAAAAUUUUUUGUAAUUCGUACUUUCGUUGUUGUUAGAUGAUAAAACAUGAUUAAUAUUUUAUGCGUGACUUGUCUUUUUAAUUUUUUUCAUAAUUUUUUCAAAUAAAACGGACUGUCAAACGUUGGACACGAAACCAGGGUUUGUCUUUUU
rfam:Oryza glaberrima chromosome 2 Oglab02_0339_2, whole genome shotgun sequence.